AUAAUACUAAUCCCUAAACUUAUUAAAUUUAUUGACCAGGUCAUUUUUCUUUCAAUCCCGAAGUUCGUAUUUUAGCAACUUGGAUCGUUGGGCAGAGCACUUCACCCCUUGGCUUUUGAGGUUCAAGAUCGACCUUAUCGUAGAAGAUAGCACGAAUCAACACAACUUCCUCAUGAUAGGAAGACAUGCUGAAAAGAUGCUUCCUGUGUCUUGCCAUACUUUGGUGAUAGAGGACGGCUAUGACGAUCCUUUCAUCCUACCACCACUUCUUAAAACUUUGAUCGGCGAGACAAAACAAUUCCAAAUCUCUUUUGGAAAUCAAAACACUGACUUCAGGAAAACGGACUUGAUCAUUAAUGGACUACUCCAUGACCAAGACCUCUCCAACCCAACGAUUGCCUCAAUCAAGCCACAAACACCGACUACCACCGCAGGAAAACAAGUUAUGAGCCAAACAACCCGUACUCCGUUAACGCCUUCCCAGCUGCUACAACAACGACCCAACCAAUUGAACCGGCCAAAACCUCAAAGAGAGUGUUGUUCAUUGAUGAAGCUAACAAAUCUGACAGGUAAAGAUUACUCUUAGUUGUAUGUUUUGCAUUUAAUAAAAAACUAUCAAACAAUCUCUUUGCACCAUUGUUUCACCCAGUUUUCCAUAACUAUCACAUUUCUAUCUAUCCUCAUAUAUUUUCCCUUAAUUCACAGCAAGAAACCUCACAACAAGCAAGCAGAUACAACCAAUUUUGCUAGAAUUGCUGGUGAAUUCCACAAUUUGGUUGUCCCCAAAAUUGAACCCACCGACAAAGUGCCGAUUGCCGCACUCAAGACAAAAUCUCAGACAAAAAAAUCAAAAGAAAGGUAAACUACAAUUUGUUUUCCACCCACACACCUAAAUGGUUUCCAUGGUAAGAACGUUUCUUAGAAUGUUAUUUCUAUUUUUUUGUUGUAGUGUGGAAGAUGUCCUCUCUCAGAAGAAAUGAACAACCACAAUCUCCGUCAUCCAGUCGUACAAAAUGUUCUGCAUGUUUUUUGGUUUGAAAAUCUGUGGUUGAAAAACUUCGCUACUAGAACAAAAGCACAACACUUUUUAUGUUUUUUGUUAAGUGCUCAAACAGAUGGCUCACCUGCAGGACAUGUAUUUUUCCACCUUUACUACAGGGAGAAAAUAUGUGUGAACUGCAUGUUGCUUAUGUUUUUUAUAUGGCUUAUAGAAACAACCCUUCUAUUUGUUGCUUUAA